AGAACCCUCCCUCCCCAGUGUUGUGCACAGUUUGCUCUACACACAGAGGUAACUAGACAAGAGUAAAAGAUACUCCCUCUUUAUAUCAAGAUUGUGCAAGCUGCCAGGCCUAAUUGAUAAGGUGAUUUGGAUCUCCCAAGCAUCACAACUGUUUUGCACCUGCUCCUCAAAUUCAGUUCCUCUUAGCUGCUGCCUCAGCCCAUUGGCUGAGGAAAAAAGCCUCUGAAAGACAAUCUGGUUGGCCUGAUGUGAAAGGGAUUUUGCUGGUGUUAGGAUGUUUGAUUACAAGAGAGGAUUGAUCUCAGCUCCCUUUUCUCGUCAGCUUCUAUCCUUCUGAUAGAGAACAAAUGGGAAAAAGUUGCUUUUGUUAGUUCAUUUCCUCUAACAAGACUGAAGAUUUGAUGCUUUAUUUAUUCCUGUGCUUUGGCCAAUUACUCACUUUGUAAGCUAGUCUAUCAUGAACAAACUUGAAGAAGUGAUAAUGCUUGGUAAUUGGUAAAUCUAAAGGGGUCAACGUGGCACAAAAUCAUUGUUUAGUACCACUGGUUAAAGCUAGAUUACAUUUGUGCAAUGUAUAACUCAUAUGAGUAAUAGCCACGUACAUGUUAGUUAAAUAUUAUCUUAUCUAGUUAGUUAAAUAUUAUCUUAUUGUGAGCCCUUUGGGGACAGGGAUCCAUCUUAUUUAUUUAUUAUUUCUCUAUGUAAACCGCCCUGAGCCAUUUUUGGAAGGGCGGGAUAGAAAUCGAAUUAUUAUUAUUAUCAUCAUAAUCAUCAUCAUCUUAUCUAUCACAAAACUAGAUGCCAACCAGUGCAAGAAGCAACUAUAUGAAGAGGGUGUACACACGACUGUGGGGGAGGCAGGGUCAAACAUACCUUCCCAGAUGAUUGUCAUAGUACUGUGUGGCGCAUGCCUCACACACCCACAUGAUCUGUGCUACUCCAUGUGGUUCAGCUCUCUGGAGGCCAGGGAAAUGAGUCCUGGACUCCAGGAAUCCCAAGACACACCAUACGAGCAGCACGGUGUGCAUUCAGAGAUUCCCCCUUGAGCUGGAUGCUCUAGGCACCCAGUACUUUGUAUGCUCAGGCUGCCUGCAGGCCGAGCAUACACAUGACCCCGGACCUGGGAUAAAGGGUGCUCUUGUGCCCUUUAACCCAGGUUAAAAAAAACUCAGGCUACUGGGGGAAGCAGUUCUGGGAUCGCCCUCAAUCCUGGCUCUGCACAUGAUCCUGGGCUGCUCAUGUGCUGGACUGCUCAUGUGCACAGCCUCAAAGUCUUUUUAGAUGGACCUUCCCAGACAUAAUUGAAAACUGUUGUUUCAUUUAUUGUACAGACUGGGCAAAACAGUAAAAGGGUCAGGACUUUCUCUUAUGAACUUUGAAAGAAGUAGUUUCUUCUACCUGAAAUUUCAAUAAAGAUCCAACUUGUUAUGGCUACUGACUUCAAUAAAUAAAGUAAAUAAUUUAAUUGUAAUUAUAAGGAACACCUUGCA